GACCUGAUGGUGGAGUGGUUACCACAUCUGCUCUAAUUUUCAGUAAGCAUACAAUUGUUUAGGCUGGAGGCCCCUGUUUGAUUCGGGGUCAGGUCA